rnacentral:rRNA from 1 species
GGGGGCACCUGAUCCAGCCAUGCCGCGGUGAGUGAAGAAGGCCUUCGGGUUGUAAAGCUCUUUCGGCCGGGAAGAAAUCGGCGACUCUAACAUAGUCGCUGGAUGACGGUACCGGACUAAGAAGCACCGGCUAACUACGUGCCAGCAGCCGCGGUAAUACGUAGGGUGCGAGCGUUAAUCGGAAUUACUGGGCGUAAAGCGUGCGCAGGCGGUUUUGUAAGACAGAUGUGAAAUCCCCGGGCUUAACCUGGGAACUGCGUUUGUGACUGCAAGGCUAGAGUACGGCAGAGGGGGGUGGAAUUCCACGUGUAGCAGUGAAAUGCGUAGAGAUGUGGAGGAACACCGAUGGCGAAGGCAGCCCCCUGGGCCUGUACUGACGCUCAUGCACGAAAGCGUGGGGAGCAAACAGGAUUAGAUACCCUGGUAGUCCACGCCCUAAACGAUGUCGACUAGUCGUUCGGAGCAGCAAUGCACUGAGUGACGCAGCUAACGCGUGAAGUCGACCGCCUGGGGAGUACGGCCGCAAGGUUAAAACUCAAAGGAAUGGACGGAA